UACGUAGGGACCGAGCGUUGUCCGGAAUCAUUGGGCGUAAAGAGCGUGUAGGCGGCCACUUAAGUCCUGCGUGAAAUCCUGCGGCUCAACCGCAGGCGGUCGUGGGAAACUGGGUGGCUAGAGUGCGGGAGAGGAGAGUGGAAUUCCUGGUGUAGCGGUGGAAUGCGCAGAUAUCAGGAAGAACACCCGUGGCGAAGGCGGCUCACUGGACACAUAUUGACGCUGAGGUGCGAAAGCGUGGGGAGCAAACAGG
rnacentral:rRNA from 1 species